AUACGUAGGUGGCAAGCGUUGUCCGGAUUUAUUGGGCGUAAAGCGAGCGCAGGCCCGGUUUUUUAAGUCUGAUGUGAAAGCCUUCGGCUCAACCGAAGAAGUGCAUCGGAAACUGGGAAACUUGAGUGCAGAAGAGGACAGUGGAACUCCAUGUGUAGCGGUGAAACGCGUAGAUAUAUGGAAGAACACCAGUGGCGAAGGCGGCUGCCUGGUCUGUAACUGACGCUGAGGCUCGAAAGUAUGGGUAGC
rnacentral:rRNA from 1 species